rnacentral:tRNA from 1 species
AGUCCCGGCACUUUUUGGGUGCGUGCUCUUGUUUGCAGCUUGAGUCUCUCGAGACUUG